rnacentral:sRNA from 1 species
UUUAAGUAUAUAUUGUCAUUUACUCUACAAAAUGCUGACCUAUUGACUGUUUCACUUUCUAGGUCCCGAACCCCUGGUAAUAGAAUUGUUUACCUUUAUACCAAGAAGGUUGGGAAAGCACCAAAAUCUGCAUGUGGUGUGUGCCCAGGCAGACUUCGAGGGGUGAGUGUACCUUUUACUGUGUGCAGCCUAACAAGUCUUGAACUUACUGAGCUUUGAUCCCUUGACGAUGGAAUGAAUCAAGGAGAGGUUACCACUAAGAGGGUUCAGAAUUACUAAACAUUCAUGAGCCAAAUCUGCCACGAACAUAGACUUUUUAAACCAAUCUGAGAAAUGCAGUGAAAUGAGUACACCAUUUCCCUUUGUAACCUACUUUAAACUUGCCCUUAACACUUAACAAAAUUUAGGAAAAUUUCUGUUAAAGCAUCACAAAAAUCUUAAUAUUUUUCUUAUGCAGGUUCGUGCUGUAAGACCUAAAGUUCUUAUGAGAUUGUCCAAAACAAAGAAACAUGUCAGCAGGGCCUAUGGUGGUUCCAUGUGUGCUAAAUGUGUUCGUGACAGGAUCAAGCGUGCUUUCCUUAUCGAGGAGCAGAAAAUCGUUGUGAAAGUGUUGA